rnacentral:rRNA from 1 species
CGGACGGGUGAGUAACGCGUGAGAAUCUGCCUUCAGGACGGAGACAACAGUUGGAAACGACUGCUAAGCCCCGAUGAACCGAAAGGGAAAAUAUUUAUAGCCUGAAGAUGAGCUCGCGUCCGAUUAGCUAGUUGGGGGGGUAAAGGCCCACCAAGGCGACGAUCGGUAGCUGGUCUGAGAGGACGAUCAGCCACACUGGGACUGAGACACGGCCCAGGCUCCUACGGGAGGCAGCAGUGGGGAAUUUUCCGCAAUGGGCGAAAGCCUGACGGAGCAAGACCGCGUGAGGGAGGAAGGCUCUUGGGUUGUAAACCUCUUUUCUCAGGGAAGAACAAAAUGACGGUACCUGAGGAAUAAGCAUCGGCUAACUCCGUGCCAGCAGCCGCGGUAAUACGGAGGAUGCAAGCGUUAUCCGGAAUGAUUGGGCGUAAAGCGUCCGCAGGUGGCAGUUCAAGUCUGCUGUCAAAGACCGGGGCUUAACUUCGGAAAGGCAGUGGAAACUGAACAGCUAGAGUAUGGUAGGGGCAGAGGGAAUUCCUGGUGUAGCGGUGAAAUGCGUAGAGAUCAGGAAGAACAUCGGUGGCGAAGGCGCUCUGCUGGACCAUAACUGACACUCAGGGACGAAAGCUAGGGGAGCGAAUGGGAUUAGAUACCCCAGUAGUC